GAAGGUCUGGCCAAUCAGAAGCUGGCAGGUUCUGAAUCCUAAGGUCUGCUGGUCAGGGACAAGUCCUUGGAUGAUCCAGUGGUGAGAGAAUGUGGGCAUCACUGGCAAGCCCAUCACUAAUUACCCAGAGGACAUUUGAGAGUCUAUGACAUUACUGAGGAUCUGGAUCAUAUGUAGGCCAGACUGGCGGCGUUGAAAUGAUCCAGUCUCUGGACAAACCAUUGCUCACUCCCCUUAAAACGUGACUUCUGCCGUA